UAGAACGUAGCUAAAAGAAAGGCACCUCCCUUACACUGAGAAGAUACCCGUGCAAAUCGGGUCGUUCUAA
rnacentral:tRNA from 1 species